CCCUAUGGGGUGCGGGGGUGUACACCGCGAGCAGCAGCCCAACCUUCACAGAUUUAACCAUUAUGAACAAUACAGCUUCCACACAGGGUGGUGGGAUCUAUAACAUGAACAGUAAUCCCACGCUUACCCGCGUGUUAUUGGAAUCCAAUAGCACCACUGAGUCGGGCGGAGGGGUAUAUUCGUAUGGCAGCAAUCUCGUCCUGACUGAUGUGACCUUUCGCGACAACCAAACUUCGGUAAAGGACGAUUCCGUUUACAACGGCGGGGGUGGCAUGUUCAAUUUUGGACCCCCAAACAUGGUUAAGGUAUCGGUUGUGCUGACGAAUGUGACCUUCACGGGGAAUACCAGCGCGGAUGAUGGCGGGAGAGC
rnacentral:rRNA from 1 species